rnacentral:rRNA from 1 species
GUGCCAGCAGCCGCGGUAAUACGUAGGUGGCAAGCGUUGUCCGGAUUUAUUGGGCGUAAAGCGAGCGCAGGCGGUUCCUUAAGUCUGAUGUGAAAGCCCCCGGCUCAACCGGGGAGGGUCAUUGGAAACUGGGGAACUUGAGUGCAGAAGAGGAGAGUGGAAUUCCAUGUGUAGCGGUGAAAUGCGUAGAUAUAUGGAGGAACACCAGUGGCGAAGGCGACUCUCUGGUCUGUAACUGACGCUGAGGCUCGAAAGCGUGGGUAGCAAACAGGAUUAGAUACCCUGGUAGUGC